GGAUAUAUGGACCGUGGUAUAAGU
rnacentral:snRNA from 1 species